rnacentral:pre_miRNA from 1 species
AAUAUACUUCCUCCGUCCCAAAAUUCUUGUCUUAGAUUUGUCUAAAUACGGAUGUAUCAAGUCACGUUUUAGUAUUAGAUACAUCCGUAUCUAGACAAAUCUAAGACAAGAAUUUUAGGACGGAGGGAGUAUAUU